AUACGUAGGGGGCGAGCGUUGUCCGGAAUGACUGGGCGUAAAGGGCGUGUAGGCGGCGGAUUAAGUCUGGAGUGAAAGUCCCGUUUUCAAGGGGGGAACUGCUUUGGAUACUGCCGCGCUUGAGUGCAGGAGAGGUUAUCGGAAUUCCCGGUGUAGCGGUGAAAUGCGUAGAGAUCGGGAGGAACACCAGUGGCGAAGGCGGGUAACUGGACUGCAACUGACGCUGAGGCGCGAAAGUGUGGGGAGCAAACAGGAUUAGAUACCCUGGUAGUCCACACUGUAAACGAUGAAUACUAGGUGUGGGGGGACUGACCCCCUCCGUGCCGCAGUUAACACAAUAAGUAUUCCACCUGGGGAGUACGAUCGCAAGAUUGAAACUCAAAGGAAUUGACGGGG
rnacentral:rRNA from 1 species